UAUGUACUAUUCCGUGCCGUUGCUGACGG
rnacentral:sRNA from 1 species